AAUGUUCUUUUUUUUUUUCCCAGCGGUGCGUGCGGGCGUCGGAGAAGGCUGGAACACGCAAGCUCGACCCCUUCCCGGACAGAGUUAAACCCGACCCCGCCAAGAAGAAACCGCCUCCGCCCAAGAUCAACAACAACAAGGCUGGCGGAAGUCACUCCAGCUCAGAACAAGGCUACAUCUGUGAUAGCGAGAGCGAAGGAGACACUAAGGUAAGGAGUCAGGUUCUUGGAGGAGUGUGUGUAA